UACGUAGGUCCCGAGCGUUGUCCGGAUUUAUUGGGCGUAAAGCGAGCGCAGGUGGUUUAAUAAGUCUGAUGUGAAAGGCAGUGGCUCAACCAUUGUGUGCAUUGGAAACUGUUAGACUUGAGUGCAGUAGAGGAGAGUGGAAUUCCAUGUGUAGCGGUGAAAUGCGUAGAUAUAUGGAGGAACACCGGUGGCGAAAGCGGCUCUCUGGACUGUAACUGACACUGAGGCUCGAAAGCGUGGGUAGCAAACAGG
rnacentral:rRNA from 1 species